AGCGAAACAUUGUAAAGUGUCUGUGUUUUUUUUACCGAGUGGAGACUGUCCGCUGUUUGAUUUGUUUGUUUGUGUUUCCAAAUGGCUAGCGCUGCUGAAAAUAAUGUUGAUAAUGAAGGAGAAGAUCCUUUGAAUUCUAUGAUUGAAGAGGCUGUUCGUAAUUUGCAAAGGGACCUGAGAGAAAAUGGCGGCCUCUCCUCGACACCAGCGCCACCUACGCGGACAGAGGCGCCGAUGGAGUCUCCCUCUGAGAUGGAAUUCAAAGGGCAGCGCUACGGCAUUGGACCCCGCCAACUGAACAUCGCCGUCGGUUUCGUCAUUAUCUUCACCAUCAUGUACACCCUCGCUUAUCUCCUCCACUUCCUCCACCUCUCUCCCCUUCCACCGAAUAAGAGGAGGAGGAGGAAGAGGAGGAAGAGAGGAAGCAGGAGGGAAGAGGAACCGGAAGAGAGAGAGCGUUGGGAGCUGCAUCUGUUACGUCGCCUGUACGAAGCACUGGAGAGCUGGGAGAUAGGACAGGAGUGAAGGCAGGCAGCGCAGGGCCGCGGGAGACAGGCUUCGAGCGCGGUCGAGCACGGACAGGGCGAGAGACGAGACGAGAGAUACGAGCUUAAACGCAAAUCACUUGAAAAGAGAAAAAAAAGAUGGAUUCCACUGCAGUUACCGCUACGGAUAAAGAGACUACUGGAUUAUUGACUGAUACACAACUGAGCGUCGCCACCGGACUCGUGUUAAUGUUCGGAAUGUUCUGGGUGGUUGGCUACCUCCUCAACUUCCUCAAUUUCGCUCCCCUCCGUCGGCGCCGAUAUUAUCCCGGGCACGAGGAUCCUCACGCCCAGGCCUCCUCCAUGUCUUUCCUGGAGAAGGCGUUGAACACCGUCAGUCGCUGGACGAGUCUCGAUUCGUUCUAGGAGGAAGAAGAAACGGCGGGGAUUCGGACAAAAAGGGCGGGAAAUCGGAUAGAAAACUGGCGGGAAAAAUAGAGAAAAACUGGCGGGAAAAUUGGAAGCUGAGGAGAGAAAACGUAUAUAUUUUUUUUGUUCUCUUUUCUCAUUCUCUCCUCAUCUUUUUCUCUUCUCUCUCUGUAACUUUUAUCAAUACUAUUUUGUGUGUCUGUGUAUGUAUUUGUGAGUGAGGAUGCUUUUUGUGUUUUUUGUGUGAUUUUAUGUAUGUAUGUUUAUGUGCGUGUGUCUCUGUAAGUUUUGUGAUUUUUAAUGCUAAGUGUUAUUUAUUAUGUAUUUAUUGUCUCCAUACACAUCAUUCCAUUAUAUAUAAGGCUUUUUUUCUAAUAAAUGAGAAAAAA